rnacentral:rRNA from 1 species
ACUCCUACGGGAGGCAGCAGUGGGGAAUAUUGCACAAUGGAGGGAACUCUGAUGCAGCGACGCCGCGUGAACGAAGAAGGCUUUCGAGUCGUAAAGUUCUUUUAUAUGGGAAGAUAAUGACGGUACCAUAAGAAAAGCCCGGCUAACUACGUGCCAGCAGCCGCGGUAAUACGUAGGGGCUAGCGUUGUCCGGAAUCACUGGGCGUAAAGGGUUCGCAGGCGGAAAUGCAAGUCAGGUGUAAAAGGCAGUAGCUUAACUACUGUAAGCAUUUGAAACUGCAUAUCUUGAGAAGAGUAGAGGUAAGUGGAAUUUUUAGUGUAGCGGUGAAAUGCGUAGAUAUUAAAAAGAAUACCGGUGGCGAAGGCGACUUACUGGGCUCAUUCUGACGCUGAGGAACGAAAGCGUGGUAGCAAACAGGAUUAGAUACCCUGGUAGGCUCUGC